GGGCAGGUUCCAGAGUGGUCAAAUGGGACGGGCUGUAAACCCGUUGGCGCAAGUCUUCGGAGGUUCGAAUCCUCCCCUGCCCA
rnacentral:tRNA from 1 species